UCGGCCUCUAUUGUACAGAGUAAUAAAAUUGACAGAAUAAUUUUGAUAAUAAUAAUUUAUCAAUGUUUAAGAAAGCCAAUCAACUUAUACUAAAAUCUAGUAUUUGAAUAAUGCAAACCGAAAUGUAGAGAUCGUAACAAUUUGCCUUAGAAUGUUAGAACAAUGUCCUUCUGUCAAAAGUGUUCUAUCGAAGCAAUGACUAUUUUAAACUUAAGAAGAAAGAAUAGGAUACCCUAUAGAUUAAGACACAUGGUCUUUUAUAAACCACCAGC
rnacentral:lncRNA from 1 species